UACGUAGGUGGCAAGCGUUGUCCGGAUUUAUUGGGUUUAAAGGGUGCGUAGGCGGCUUAUUAAGUCAGUGGUGAAAUACUCUAGCUCAACUAGAGGGGUGCCAUUGAUACUGAUGAGCUCGAGUACAGAUGAGGUAGGCGGAAUUGACGGUGUAGCGGUGAAAUGCUUAGAUAUCGUCAAGAACACCUAUAGCGAAGGCAGCUUACUAGGCUGUAACUGACGCUGAGGCACGAAAGUGUGGGGAUCAAACAGG
rnacentral:rRNA from 1 species